CACAAAGAUGGUAAAAAUAGGAGAUUGCUUCAAUCAAACAUACAAAUUUUCAGUGACAACUAAAGAAAUAUAUUGAACUACCUGACAAAAAGAAAGAAAUUUAUUCAACAGGCUUGCCAGAUGUUUUAUGGGCACUGAUUUUGAAGCAUUUUAGUAUUGAAGAGUUCCUUUUUGGGAGGAAUAUACGAUAUAAGAGAGACCAGAAGGAAUGUGCUGACAGUAGCAGAAAAGAAGAAG